ensembl:lncRNA
GAGGCAGCAUGUUCCGUUUUCUGACAAAAAUCUGUUCUUACCAAAUUCGGAAUGCCACAAAUGUCUCUGUUCAAUCUGACUGACUGGAUUUAAUCAUACUGCUGCUUUCUCUCUGCUCAGCAGUGUUUGUGGAUUGUGAAGGUGAGCAAGUAUGGAAGAGGAGCUGUGCUAUUCAACAGUCUGCUUUAAGCCAUUUGACAAUCAGAAAUCUACAGUGCCACAGUUAGAGGAGUCUGUAUUGUAUGCGGAGGUGAAAAGAAAACAAUCAACUUCACAGACACCUCCUGAGACCUCAGCUGCAGAGCGUUCAUUAAACAAAUCAGUUUUGUCAGCACACGAUUCUCUGACUGAAGGUACAGAAAAAAUUAUACCUAUCAUUUAAUCCUAACAAAACAAAUGUAUCCAAAUUGUCAAAUGUAUCCAUGUACUAUCAAUGCUCGCACUAUUGGACUCAAACUAGUGUUAUUCUUAUUCAGCAAAAGAUGCUGCCACCCCAAUCUUUUCAGCAUACAGACGAGCUACAGUGUUUCUGGGGCUGCUCUGCUUCCUCCUGCUUGCUGCGUUAACAGCUGUCAGCGUUUUCAGUGAGGAUAAGCACUCGUUCAUAUACACAAUACCAAAAUAUCAUUCAGUCCUACAUUUGGAUGUCCACAUUUGGUUGUGUGCUAGUCCUUUGCAAGGAAACUCAAAACACCACGAUUAACUGGUUUAAGUAUAUUUAAUCAGAUCUAGAACUAAAAAUAAAUAAAUAAAUCAAAUAAAAAGAGAAGUUAGUGAGUACUCCUAAUGUAACCUCAAAAUUUACC